rnacentral:antisense_RNA from 1 species
CAUUACAAAAUCUCAUGAAUUCAUCAAAAUACG